GAUGAACGCUGGCGGCGUGCUUAACACAUGCAAGUCGAACGGAAAGGCCGAAGCUUGCUUCGGUACUCGAGUGGCGAACGGGUGAGUAACACGUGGGUGAUCUGCCCUGUACUUCGGGAUAAGCUUGGGAAACUGGGUCUAAUACCGGAUAUGACGAUCUCUUGGAUGGGGUUGUGGAAAGCUUUUGCGGUAUGGGAUGAGCUCGCGGCCUAUCAGCUUGUUGGUGGGGUAAUGGCCUACCAAGGCGUCGACGGGUAGCCGGCCUGAGAGGGUGUACGGCCACAUUGGGACUGAGAUACGGCCCAGACUCCUACGGGAGGCAGUAGUGGGGAAUAUUGCACAAUGGGCGCAAGCCUGAUGCAGCGACGCCGCGUGGGGGAUGACGGCCUCCGGGUUGUAAACUCCUUUCGCAAUCGACGAAGCCUUUUGGUGACGGUAGGUUGAGAAGAAGCACCGGCUAACUACGUG
rnacentral:rRNA from 1 species